rnacentral:rRNA from 1 species
AGUGAACGCUGGCGGCGUGCUUAACACAUGCAAGUCGAACGAGAACGGAUUAUAGCUUGCUAUAAUUGUCAGCUAAGUGGCGCACGGGUGAGUAAUGUAUAGGUAAUAUGCCUCUUACUAAGGGAUAACAAAUGGAAACGUUUGCUAAUACCUUAUACUCCUUAUUAACAUAAGUUAAUAAGUGAAAGAUUUAUUGGUAAGAGAUUAGCCUGUAUUGUAUCAGUUAGUUGGUGGGGUAAUGGCUUACCAAGACUAUGACACAUAACUGGUUUGAGAGGAUGAUCAGUCACACUGGAACUGAGACACGGUCCAGACUCCUACGGGAGGCAGCAGUGGGGAAUAUUGCACAAUGGACGGAAGUCUGAUGCAGCAACGCCGCGUGGAGGAUGACACAUUUCGGUGCGUAAACUCCUUUUAUAUGAGAAGAUAAUGACGGUAUUAUAUGAAUAAGCACCGGCUAACUCCGUGCCAGCCGCCGCAGUAA